CGGGUGAGUAAUGUAUGGGGAUCUGCCUGAUGGCGGGGGGUAACUACUGGAAACGGUAGCUAAUACCGCAUAACGUCGCAAGACCAAAGAGGGGACCUUCGGGCCUCUUGCCAUCGGAUGUGCCCAGAUGGGAUUAGCUAGUAGGUGAGGUAACGGCUUACCUAGGCGACGAUCCCUAGCUGGUCUGAGAGGAUGAUCAGCCACACUGGGACUGAGACACGGUCCAG
rnacentral:rRNA from 1 species